rnacentral:rRNA from 1 species
UACGUAGGUGGCAAGCGUUGUCCGGAAUUAUUGGGCGUAAAGCGCGCGCAGGCGGCCUUUUAAGUCUGAUGUGAAAGCCCCCGGCUCAACCGGGGAGGGCCAUUGGAAACUGGGAGGCUUGAGUAUAGGAGAGAAGAGUGGAAUUCCACGUGUAGCGGUGAAAUGCGUAGAGAUGUGGAGGAACACCAGUGGCGAAGGCGACUCUUUGGCCUAUAACUGACGCUGAGGCGCGAAAGCGUGGGGAGCAAACAGG